GACGAACGCUGGCGGCGUGCUUAACACAUGCAAGUCGAGCGGUAAGGCCCUUUCGGGGGUACACGAGCGGCGAACGGGUGAGUAACACGUGGGUGACCUGCCCUCAGCUCUGGGAUAAGCCUGGGAAACCGGGUCUAAUACUGGAUAUGACUCCAUGACGCAUGUUGUGGGGUGGAAAGCCUUGUGCGGCUGAGGAUGGGCCCGCGGCCUAUCAGCUUGUUGGUGGGGUGAUGGCCUACCAAGGCGACGACGGUAGCCGGCCUGAGAGGGCGACCGGCCGACACUGGGACUGAGACACGGCCCAGACUCCUACGGGAGGCAGCAGUGGGGAAUCUUGCGCAAUGGCGAAAGCCUGACGCAGCGACGCCGCGUGAGGGAUGAC
rnacentral:rRNA from 1 species